AUCGUAUAUUAGCGUCACUUUGCGUCUUUCGUCUCCCGGUCACUGGUGCGUAAUUGCGCGCAUCCUCGCUCGUAUUGAUUCUCGAGCCUGAGUGAAAGCACCUUGUUGAAUGAAAACAAAAACGACCUCACGUCACCUAGACAGAAACGCAGAUAACACAAGUAAAACUGAGCAAGGAGUGUGAUGCUCUAAUUAUGAAUUAUCAUCAUCAUUAAUUGAGGACGUUACAUUAAUAACACACUAUAUGUCUUGUUUGAUGUGGGUCCACUUCAGUAAACACUUCAUUCUUACAUCUUUAAUAUUGUGUCAUUAAAAUUGCUGCACUUUGAUUUGACGCUUGACAUUUGAUUUGUUUUACAUCAGAUUUAUUACUAUUACUUCAUAAGCAACAUUGUGUCACAGGGAACAAAUAAUUCCCAUCAACCUCUGACUGACUAAAUCAUAUUCUAACACACACACUAACACAAUGACUUCAUGGGGCAAACAUUUCCAUCGCUCCAGCGCUGAGUGCAGUGCUGCAGAUGUGGGGACCGGCCAGCCUGGCGGAGCCUCUUGUCAUUCCUUCCUCCGGCUGUGUGUUUUUGUGUCGCGUACAUUCCUCUGCUCUCCGGCCGCAUUGCCGCUGCGCUCCCUCCCUCUUAGCCACAUAUUGUGCCACCCCACCGGGCAGACUGCCUGGCGCCACACAUCGAGGGCUCAUUCAUUCACACCAACUCUUCCUCCUUUCUUUCUUUCAUUUCUUCUUUCUUCUUUUCUUUCUUGCUUUCCCUUUUUCUUUCCUUUCAGGCAUGUUGCCAAGACAACGCCGAAGCCACUCUAGAUAUCAGUUCAGCCACAAUCCUGAGUGUUUUCCAGCCAGGAUGCAUAUGAGGCCCUGAGGUCUGCGUCUAACAGGGAUGACACCCACUUCAGGGCCUGUUUGGAGGGUUAAUGUCCCAAACUUUAUGGGAACCACCACAGUCAUGAACAUUGAAAGGCUUAAGUUGCUUUAAAUGGGGGAAUUUUCCCCCUUUCACUGUCUGUUUUCUGUUGCCAUGGGUCGUGACUGUUCUGCUCAGUAAUGUGGUCAACAAUGUUAGGUUAGGGGCCACUUCAAAGAGGUCAGUGGUAUGAAUCUUUGAUAGGCUUCCACCGGCGACACGGUGUGUGAACUCUCGCAGGACGAGCAGGUGACAGAAGAGGCCUGAGAGGAAAACAACGGCCACUUUAGCUUCUGUCCUUCAGAACCCAUUCUACACAGCGACCCAGGCUUCAACUAUGAUGACAAAGCUGGAAACACAAAGCUGACAGUCUGCUGAACUAAAGCUGUCACUCAGUUAGUUAUGAGCCUGAGGUUUAAAUUUUAAUUUUCAGAACCUGUUACUAUAAAGCUAAAAUCAACAAUGUUAGUUAAAUUAAAAGUUGGGUGUCUUCGGUGGAGCUUUUGUGCUUCAUCUUGUGUCCUCUGCUUUUUAUCUUCUCCUGGGUUCAUAAACUGUAGGACCAGCUGCAGAUGACUCACCUUGACCGUUACAACAGCCUGUCUCUAACCCAGUACUUAGUCAGUGAUGAGCCAAUUGACCACAACUUUAACGUUUAGGAAUAGAUUUCGUAGAACAAAGAAGGAACCAUUGUGCAGGUUUGCCUCCUCUUCUUCCGCUGCAUCUUGUGUCUAAUCGUGGCUCUUCUUCUUCCCUGAAGGCUGUAGCAGAGCUGACUGGGGACCAGGGCACAGUAACCAGAGACUCGUUAGGUGGGGCCGAUGGGUGAACCUGUAUGUUUGUUGUCGCUUCACAGCAGACCAGAGGAGUUAUGGAACCAGUCUGCAUCUUCUGACAGCACCGCAUGUGUUCAGCUCAGGAAAGCAGCUGUGCACAUGAGGCCUAAACUCAGAUUGUUUACAGCAGCAGUGCUGCAACCACUGUACGCAAGUGGAAAUUGCAUGAAAGCUGCAUCUGUGCAAGAAAAAGGUCUCCUUGGUGACACAGUUUGCACAACAUGCCUUAUUCCCCCGACGAACGCCCAGCUAAACACAACAGCUCUGUCUGUGUCAUUUACACAGCUGCUACCUGUCCCAUCACAAGCCCGCGUCUCUUCUGUCCGGCCUCUCAAAUAUAUUAUUUGUGCAACUCUUCCCCAGAUCUGAGCACCUGAACAGCUGGACGCUCAAAUGCUGAGAUCUUGGUGCCACAUGUCUUUCCUGAUGCAACCCUCUGUAACUCUUUAAAUUCAACUCUUCCAUCAGACAGUGGAAGUGGUUAAUUCACAAGAACAAGGACUUCACGGAGGAAUGCCAUUCAGCUCAUUCAACCCGACGCCCCCCAAAUCUCUCCUGCAAACGUGUCCUCGCUGAUUCUCUCAAAGAAUUAAUUGCUGCAAAUAAUCUCGCCAUCUGGUUGGGGAGGUCCGUACCUGUGAGGCUGCUUGCAUUGCAGAGGUUGGGGUCUAUUCAGAUGCCCGCAAUGCUGCUGUGGCGCGCCCCGGACGCCUGCAAGGGCGGCAUCACUAUGAUCCGACUGCAGGCCGCACACGGGACGUCCAGAGAAGAGAGGGUGCGAAGAAUUAGAAGGAGACUGGGGAAGACAGAAUGCACAGAAGCACGUUGAGAGCAAGCCGGCGUCUCAUCAUUUUUAUUUCCCCUUUUUUAAUUCUCUCAUGGUGUGUCUUUCCGUCUUCUUUGCAUACCUUUAAACCGUCAGCCAAAUGCUACGCAAACUUCUGUAAUGCUGAAAUAGAUCAAAUGCAAAUCGAGUGUGGUUUCAGCAGCUCGGCUGGAGCUCGAAUCUGCUCAUCAGGAAACCGGCACAUGCUCACACAUAAUGUGAAGAUUACUGAUUCCAACCUAUCGCCGUAUUUAUUAGAAUAAAAUGAAGCAAUGUUUAUGAGUUAAUAAGCAGCAUCAACUUCCAAGCAAUAAAAUGAACGGAUCCAAUA